rnacentral:antisense_RNA from 1 species
UGUUUUGGUGACUCAGGCGGGGCAGCCUUCGGGCUGGUCGGACGGUAGACCGAUCUCCUACCCCCGCUUGGGUUACCACUUUU